rnacentral:rRNA from 1 species
AGAGUUUGAUCAUGGCUCAGAUUGAACGCUGGCGGCAUGCUUUACACAUGCAAGUCGAACGGCAGCACGGGGGCAACCCUGGUGGCGAGUGGCGAACGGGUGAGUAAUAUAUCGGAACAUAUCCGGAAGUGGGGGAUAGCUCGGCGAAAGCCGGAUUAAUACCGCAUAUGCCCUGAGGGGGAAAGGAGGGGAUUCGCAAGAACCUUUCGCUUUCGGAGUGGCCGAUAUCGGAUUAGCUAGUUGGUGAGGUAAAGGCUUACCAAGGCGACGAUCCGUAGCUGGUCUGAGAGGACGACCAGCCACACUGGAACUGAGACACGGUCCAGACUCCUACGGGAGGCAGCAGUGGGGAAUUUUGGACAAUGGGGGAAACCCUGAUCCAGCCAUGCCGCGUGAGUGAAGAAGGCCUUCGGGUUGUAAAGCUCUUUCAGACGGAAAGAAACGGUUACGAAUAAUACUCGUGACUAAUGACGGUACCGUCAGAAGAAGCACCGGCUAACUACGUGCCAGCAGCCGCGGUAAUACGUAGGGUGCGAGCGUUAAUCGGAAUUACUGGGCGUAAAGCGUGCGCAGGCGGUUUUGCAAGACAGAUGUGAAAUCCCCGGGCUUAACCUGGGAACUGCAUUUGUGACUGCAAGGCUAGAGUACGGCAGAGGGGGGUAGAAUUCCACGUGUAGCAGUGAAAUGCGUAGAUAUGUGGAGGAAUACCGAUGGCGAAGGCAGCCCCCUGGGUCGAUACUGACGCUCAUGCACGAAAGCGUGGGGAGCAAACAGGAUUAGAUACCCUAGUAGUCC